rnacentral:rRNA from 1 species
GGUGAGUAACCUGCCUUACACAAGGGGAUAGCCUCUGGAAACGGAGAAUAAUACCCUAUGACAUUACAGCCUCGCAUGAAGCAGUAAUCAAAGUGUUUAGCGGUGUAAGAUGGACUUGCGUCUGAUUAGCUAGUUGGUGAGAUAACAGCUCACCAAGGCAACGAUCAGUAGCCGGCUUGAGAGAGUGUACGGCCACAUUGGGACUGAGACACGGCCCAG